rnacentral:rRNA from 1 species
AACGAACGCUGGCGGCAUGCCUAACACAUGCAAGUCGAACGAGACCUUCGGGUCUAGUGGCGCACGGGUGCGUAACGCGUGGGAACCUGCCCUUAGGUUCGGAAUAACUCCCCGAAAGGGGUGCUAAUACCGGAUAAUGUCUUCGGACCAAAGAUUUAUCGACUUUGGAUGGGCCCGCGUUGGAUUAGCUAGUUGGUAGGGUAAAAGCCUACCAAGGCGACGAUUCAUAGCUGGUCUGAGAGGAUGAUCAGCCACACUGGGACUGAGACACGGCCCAGACUCCUACGGGAGGCAGCAGUGGGGAAUAGUGGACAAUGGGCGAAAGCCUGAUCCAGCAAUGCCGCGUGAGUGAUGAAGGCCUUAGGGUUGUAAAGCUCUUUUACCCGGGAUGAUAAUGACAGUACCGGGAGAAUAAGCUCCGGCUAACUCCGUG